rnacentral:lncRNA from 1 species
UUUGAACUCAAAAAAGAGUGAAAGAGAAAGAAUUUUUCCACCAUGGCUGCAACUAUAUUGUCCAACCAAAAAACGAGUCAAUCACAUUCUAAGCAUUCAAGAUUUAAACUCAGAAGAGAGAGAAAGAGAAAGGGUUUGCCCACAUGGCUACAACUAGAGUUGCCUCUGCUAAGAAACAGAUCAAUCACAUUUUCAACAUCUUAUAUGUGAACUCAAAAGAGAAAUUUGGUAACAUCAAAAAAAGAAUGAAUACAUUCUUAGAAUCAGAUAUUUAAAAUUAAAAGAGAAAGUGAAAGGAUUUGCUUACCAAGGCAGCAACUAUAGUUGCCCCAACCAAGAAAAAGAUCAAUCACAUUCUCAACAUUCGAUAUGAGAACUCAAAUGAGAAAUACUGUAACAUCAAGAAACGGGUCAAUUACAAUCUCAACAUCUGAGAUUUAAAGUUAAAAGAUAAAGAUAAUGGAUUUGCCCACCAUGGCUGCAAGUACAGUUGCCCUGCCAAGAAACGAGUAAAUCACAUUCUCAACAUCUGAUAUGUGAACUCAAAUGAAAAAUAUUGUAACAUCAAGAAAUGAGUCAAUUACAUUCUCAGCAUCGAUGAUUUAAAAUUAAAAGAGAGAGAAAGGAUUUGUCCAUCAUGGCUGCAAUUACAAUUUUUCAACCAACAAACGGGUCAAUCACAUUCUCAGCAUCCAAGAUUUGAACUCAAAAGAGAGAGAAAGAAAAAUGAUUUGAUCACCAUGGCUGCAACUAAUAUUACCCCGACAGAGGAACAAAUAGAUCACACUUUCAACAUCUCAUAUGUGAACUCAAAAAAGAAAUAUUGUAACAUCAAGAAAUGAGUCAAUAACAUUCUCAGCAUUUGAUAUUUAAAAUUAAAAGAGAAAGAGAAAGGAUUUGCCUACCAUGGCUGCAACUAUAGUUGCCCUGCCAAGAAACGGGCCAAUCAUUUUUUAGCAUACGAGAUUUGUACUCAAAAGAGAGAAAAGGAGAAAGGAUUUGUCCACCAUGACUACAACUACAAUUACCCAUGCCAAGAAAUAAAUCAAUCACAUUCUCAACAUCACAUAAGUAAACUCAAAAGAGAAAUAUUAUAACAUAAAGAAACAGGUCAAUCACAUUCUAAGCAUCUGAAAUUUAAAAUUAAAAGAAAAAGAAAAAGGAUUUGCCCACCAUUUGUGCAACUAUAGUUGCCUCGCCAAGAAAUGGGCCUAUCCUGGCUCCAACUAUAGUUACCCCGCCAAGAAACAGAUCAAUCACAUUCUUAGCAUUCGAGAUUUGAACUUAAAGACAUAGAAAAAGAAAGAGUUUGCCCUUCAUACCUGCAAAUAUAGUUACCUCUUCCAGAAACAGAUCAAUUUUAAAUAUUAAGAAGUAGGCCAAUCACAUUCUCAUCACCUGAGAUUUAAAAUUAAAAGAGAAAAGAUUUCCCUCCAUGAUUUAACCAACAGUUGCUUGACCAAGAAACGGGUCAAUCACGAGAACAAGGCUUAGCCCAAGUGGUAAAGGGCGGCCUUACCAGGACUUAGGUCCUAGGUUCGAUUCUCACCACCGCCCCCGGGCACAAGGCGCAGUCGCUUCAGGCAGACGUCAGGUGCACGAGCUAAUACUCGGAGUAUCGCAUUCGAUUCCUAGUAGUUGCGUCACAUAUCCGCGUUUACAUCCUGAGGUGUGAAAGGCUAGCUGCUCAGGGCACAGAGAUUAGUCUGGGUGGGCCCAAAGGCCUGUCUAGGACACUCUGUGGUUAAUAAAAAAAAAAAGAAACGGGUCAAUCACAUUUUCUCAGCAUAUGAGAUAUAAAAUUAAAAUAAAGAAUUUUCCCAACAUGGUUGCAACUAUAGUUGCCUCGCCAAGAAAAAAAACGGAUCAAUCACAUUUUUAGCAUUCAAGAUUUAAACUCGAAAGAGAAUGAGAAAGGAUUUGCCUACCCUGGCUACAACUAUAGUUACCCUACCAAGAAAUAGAUCAAUCACAUUUUUAGCAUUCGAGAUUUUAAACUCAAAAGAGAAAGAAAAAGGGUUUGCACAUUAUGGCUGCAAUUACAGUUAUCUCUGCCAAAAACAGAUCAAUCACAUUCCCAACAUCUCAUAUGUGAACUCAAAAAGAGAAAUUUUGUAAUAUCGAGAAAUAGAUUAAUAACAUUCUUAGAAUUAGAGAUUUAAAAUUAUAAGAGAAAGAGAGAGGAUUUGCAAAUCAUGGCUGCAACUACAGUUGCUUUGCUAAGAGACAGGUCAACCAUAUUCUCAACAUAUGAAAUAUAAAAUUAAUAGAGAGGAUUUUUAGACCAUGGAUGAAAUUAUAGCUGCCCCGUCAAGAAACUGAUUAAUCAAUCACAUUCUCAACAUCUCAUAUGUAAAAUCAAAAGAGAAUUAUUGCAACAUCAAAAAAUAGGUCAAAUCACAUUCUCAGCAUCUGAAAUUUAAAAUUAAAAGAGAAAAAAAAAGAAUUUGUCCACCAUGGCUGCAACUAUAGUUGCCCUGUCAAGAAAUAGGUUAAUCACUUUCUAAACAUUUCACAUGCGAACUCAAAAAGAGAAAUAUUGGAACAUCAAUAAACGGGCCAAUCAUCUUCUCAGCAUUUGAGAUUUAAAAUUAAAAGAGAAAGCGAAAAGAUUUGUCAACCGCGUCUACAACUACAGUUACCCCGCCACAAAAUAGGUCAAUCACAUUCUUAGCAUAUGAGAUUUUAACUAACAUAACACCAAGAUAAAGUUAAAGGAUUAGCCCACCAUGGCUAAAACUACAGCUUCUCCGCCAAGAAAUGAGUCAAUCACAUUCUCAGCAUACGAGAUUUGAACUCAAAAAGAGAGUAAAAGAAAGGACUUGCCCACCAGAGUUGCAACUAUAGUUAUCCCGUCCAAGAAACAAACCAGUUACAUUCAACAACACAUAUGUUAACUCAAAAGAGAAAUAUUAUAAAAUUAAGAAAUGGGUCAAUCACAUUCUCAGUAUCUGAGAUUUAAAAUUAAAAAAGAAAGAAAAAUAAUUUGUCCACCAUGGAUAUAAAUACAGUUGCCUCAUCAAGAAAUGGGUCAAUCACAUUCUCAACAUAUGAUAUAUAAAAUUAAAAUAGAGGAUUUUCCCACCAUGGUUGCAACUAAAGUUGCUCCCCAAGAAACGAGUCAAUAACAUUUUUAGCAAUCGAGAUUUGAACUCAAAAGGUUUUGCCUACCCUGGAUCCAACUAUAGUUACCCCGCUAAGAAACAGAUCAAUCACAUUCUUACCAUUCAAGAUUUGAACUUAAAGACAGAGAAAGAGAGAGAAAAAGGUUGCCCUUUAUGGCUGCAACUACAGUUACCUCUGCCAAGAAACAAAUUAAUUACAUUCUCAAUAUUUCAUAUGUGAACUCAAAAGAGAAAAAUUUAAACAUUAAGAAAUUGGUCAAUCACAUUCUCAGCAUCUGAGAUUUAAAAUUAAAAGAGAAAAGAGAAAGGAUUUGCCUUCAAUGGUUGAACCAACAGUUGCCAAACCAAGAAAUGGGUCAAUCACAUUUUUUCAGUAUAUGAGAUUUAAAAUUAAAAGAUAUGAUUUUUUCACCAUAGCUGCAACUACAGUUGCCCCGACAAGAAAUGGGUCAAUCACAUUUUUGGAUUUUUAGAUUCAAACGCAAAAGAGAGAAACAAAAAUGAUUUGCCUACCAAGGCUGCAACUAUAGUUACCCUACCAAGAAAGAGAUCAAUCACAUUCUUAACAUCUCAUAUGUGAAUUCAAAAGAGAAAUUUUGUUAACAUCAAGAAACGGAUCAAUCACAUUCUCAACAUAUGAGAUUUAAAAUCAAAAGAGAAAAAGAUUGGAUUGGCCGACCACGGCUGCAACUACCGUUGCCCUUCCAAGAAAUAGGUCAAUCACAUUCUCAGUAUUUGAAUUUUAAACUGAAAAGAGAAAAAGAUAAAGGAAAUAUUGCAACUAUAGUUGCCCUGCCAAGAAACAGAUCAAUCACAUUUACAAAAUCUCAUAUGUGAACUCAAAAGAGAAAUAUUGCAACAUUAAGAAUCGAACCAACCAUUUUCUCAGCAUCUGAAAUUUAAAAUUAAUAAACAAAGAGAAAUGAAUUAACCAUCAUGGAUGCAACUACAGUUGCUCCACCUAAAAACAGGUCAAUCAAAUGUGAACUCAAAACAUAUCAUAUGUAAACUCAAAAGAGUAAUAUUAGAACAUCAAGAAAUGGGCCAAUCACAAUCUAAGCAUCUGAUAUUUACAAAUAAAAGAGAAGAGAGAAUUUGUCCACCAUGGCUGUAGCUACAGUUACCCCGCCACAAAACAGGUCAAUCACAUUCUCAGCAUCCGAGAUUUGAACUGAAAAAAAAGGGAGAGAAAGGAUUAGCCCAUUGUCGCUUCAACUACAAUUGCCUUACCUAGAAAUGGAUCAACCACAUUCUCAACAUACAAGACUUGAACUAAAAAAAAAAGAGAAAGGAUUUCCCAACAUUUUUGCAACUAUAGUUACCUCAGCCAAGAAACAGAUCAAUCACAUUCUCAACAUUACAUAUAUUAACUCAAAAGAGAAUAACAUCAAAAAAUGGGUCAAUCACAUUCUCGACAUCUGAGAUUUAAAAUUAAAAGAGAAAGACAAAAAAUUUGUCCACCAUGGUUGCAACUAUAGUUACCCGCCAAGAAACGGGUAAAUCACAUUUUCAGAAUCUGAGAUUUAAAAAUAAAAGAGAAAGACAAAAAAUUUGCCCACCAUGGUUGCAACUAUAGUUACCCGCCAAGAAACGGGUCAAUCACAUUCUAAACAUAAGAGAUUUGAACUCAAAAGACGAGGAAAGAGAAACGAUUUAUCCACCAUGGCUUUAACUACAGUUACUCCGGCUAAGAAACAGAUCAAUCACAUUCUAAGUAUUUGAGAUUUAAACUUAAAAAGAACGAGAAAUGAUUUGCCCACCAUGGCUGCAAUUACAGUUGCCCUGCGAAAGAAAUAGAUCAAUCACUUUCUCAACAUCUCAUAUGUGAAUUCAAAAGAGAAAUAUUUUAACUUUAAUAAACAAGUCAAUCACAUUUUCAGCAUCUGAGAUUUAAAAUUAAAAAAAGAGAUAAAAGGGAUUUGACCACCACGGCGGCAACUACAAUUGUCGCGCCAAGAAACGGGUCAAACACAUUAUCAGCAUCCGAGACUUAAACUCAAAAAGAGAAAGAGAAAGGAUUUGCCUAUCAUGGCUGCAACUAUAGUUACCCUGUCCAAGAAACAAAUCAAUCACAUUCUUAACAUCUUAUAUGUGAAAUUAAAAGAGAAAUACUAUAACAUCAAGAAAUGGGUCAAUUAUAUUUUCAAAAUCUAAGAUUUUAAAUUAAAAGAGAAAGAUAAAGGAUUUUCUCACAACGGCUACAACUAUAGUUUUCUCGCCAAAAAAUGGGUCAAUCACAUUUUCUCAGUAUAUGAGAUUUAAAAUUAAAGAGUGGAUUUUCCUACCAUGGGUCAAUCACAUUUUUAGCAUUCCAAUUUUAAACUCCUAAAAGAGAGAAAGAGAGGAUUUGCCUACCAUGGUAGCAACUAUAGUUACCCUGCCAAGAAAUAGAUCAAUCACAUUCUUAGCAUUGGAGAUUUAAACUUAAAUAGAGAGUGAAAGAAAAAGGAUUUGCCCACCAUGGCUGCAACUAUAGUUGCCUUGCCAAGAGAUGGGUCAAUCACAUUACUAGCAUUUGAGAUUUAAACUCAAAAGAGAAAUAAAUAAAAAGGAUUUUCCCAUCAUGGCUGCAACUAUAGUUGCCCCGCCAAGAAAUGGGUCAAUCACAUUUUCUCAAUGAGAUUUAAAAUUAAAAGAGAGGAUUUUUCUGCCAUGGCUACAACUACAGUUGUCCAUCCAAGAAACAGGUCAAUCACAUUCUUAGCAAUCGAAUUUUAAACUCCAAACAGAGAGAAAGAGAGAAUUUGCCUACCAUUGGUGCAACUAUAGUUACCCCGCCAAGAGCUAGAUCAAUCGCAUUCUUAGCAUCGGAGAUUUAAACUUACAAAAAGAGUGAAAGAGAAAGGAUUUGCCCUCCAUGGUUGAACCAACAGUUGCCUAGCCAAGAAACAGGUCAAUUUUAUUUUCUCAAUGAGAUUUAAAAUUAAAAGAUAGGAUUUUUACACCAUGGCUACAAUUAUAGAUACCUUGCCAAGAAACGGGUCAAUCACAUUUUUUGAUUUCUAGAUUCGAAAUCAAAAGAGAGAAACAGAAAGGAUUUGCCUACUAAGGCUGCAACUAUAGUUACCCUAUCAAGAAAGAGAUCAAUCACAUUCUUAGCAUUUCAUAUUUAAACUCUAAAUUGAAAGAUAGAAAAAAGAUCAAUCACAUUCUCAACAUCUCAUAUGUGAACUCAAAAGAGAAAUUUUAUAACAUCAAGAAACGGAUCAAUCACAUUCUCAGCAUCAAAGAUUUAAAUUAAAAGAGAAAGAAAAAGGAUUUGCCUACAAUGGCUACAACUAUAAUUUCUUCGCCAAAAAAUAGGUCAAUCACAUUUUCACAGUGUAUGAGAUUUAAAAUUAAAAGAGAAGGAAAAAGGAAGGAUUUGCCCACCAAGGCUACAACUAUAAUUAACCCCGCCAAAAAACAGAUCAAUAACAUUUUAAACAUGUCAUAUAUGAACUCAAAAGAGAAAUAUUGUAACAAAAAGCAAUGGGUCAAUCUUAUUUUCUCAGUAUAUGAGAUUUAAAAUUAAAAUAGAGGAUUUUCCCUCCAUGGCUACAACAGUUGCUACUCCAAGAAACGAGUCAAUAACAUUCUUAGAAUUCGAAUUUUAAACUCCAAAAAGAGAGAAAUAGAGGAUUUGCCUACCAUAGAUGCAACUAUAGUUAUCCCACCAAGAAAUACAUCAAUCACAUUUUAGCAUUGGAAAUUUAAACUUAAAGCGAGAGAAAGAAUAAGGAUUUGCCCACCAUGGCUGCAAUUAUAGUUGCCUCGCAAAGAGACGAGUCAAUCACAUUCUUAGGUGAUGUUUGUUAACUGUUUAAAUUUUAUUUUUCUAUUUACUUUUUAUUUUUUGAAAUAAACGUAAACAAAAACUUGUUUGUGUUGAUAUCUAUUUUUGUAAACAAGACAAAAUUGUUUCCACUAUUUUUGAAAAUAGUGAAAAUAACAAAAUUAUGUUUUUGUUUUGUUUACCACCACCACUACUGCCUCACCACCUCCACCAACUCCUCCUCACCAAGAAUUUGUCUACCAUGGAUGCAACUAUAGUUGCCUCCCCAAGAGAUGGGUCAUUCACAUUCGUAGUAAUUGAGAUUUAAAGUCAAAAGAGAGAGAAAGAGAAAGAAUUUUUCCAUUAUAGCUACAACUAAACGGGUCAAUUACAUUUCCUCAGUAUAUGAGAUUUAAAAUUAAAAAAGAGGAUUUUCUCACCAUGGCUGCAACAACAGUUGCCCCGCCAAGAAACGGGUCAAUCACAUUCUUAGCAUUUGAGAUUUUAAAUUGCAAUGAGAGAAAGAGAGGAUUUGCCAACCAUGGCUGCAACUAUAGCAACCCGCCAAGAAAUAGAUCAAUCACAUUCUUAGCAUUAGAGAUUUAAACUUAAAAAAAGAGUGAAAGGGAAAGGAUUUGACCACCACGGCUACAACUGUUACCCCCACAAAGAAAUAGAUCAAUAACACUAUCAACAUCUCGUAUGUUAACUUAAAAGAGAAAUAUUGUAACAUCAAUAAAUGGGUCAAUCACAUUCUUAGCAGCUAAAAUUUAAAAUCAAAAGAGAGAAAUGAUUUGCUUACCAGGGCGGCAACUACAGUUUCUCCACCAAGAAAUGGGUCAAUCCCAUUCUUAGCUUACGAAUUUAAAACUCCAAAGAGAGAGAAAGAGAGGAUUUUCCUACCACGACUGCAACUAUAGUUACCCAGCCAACAAAUAGAUCAAUCACAUUCUUAGCAUUAGAGAUUUAAACUUAAAAAAGAGAGAAAGAGAAAGGAUUUUCCACCAUGGCUGCAACUAUAGUUGUCUCGCCAAGAGAUGGGUCAAUCACAUUUUUAUCAUUUGAGAUUUAACUCAAAAGAGAGAAAGAACAAGGAUUUGCCCACCAUGUCUGCAACAAUAGUUGCCUCGCCAAGGAACGGGUCAAUCACAUUCUUAACAUUAGAAUUUUAAACUCCAAACAGAGAGAGAAAUAAAGGAUUUUCCUACCAUGGCUACAACUAUAGUAAUCCACCAAGAAAUAGAUCAAUCAUAAUAUUCUUAGCAUUGGAGAUUUAAACUUAAAAAUAGAGUGAAAGAGAAAGGAUUUGACUACCAUGCCUACAACUACUGUUACCCCUACAAAAAGAAAUAGCUCAAUAACACUCUCAACAUCUCGUAUAUUAACUUAAAAGAAAAAUAUUGUAACAUCAAUAAAUGGGUCAAUCACAUUCUCAGCAGAUGAAAUUUAAAAUCAAAAGAGAAAGAAAUGACUUGCUUACCAGGGCUACAACUACAGUAUCUCUGCCAAGAAAUGGGUCAAUCCCAUUCUUAGCUUACGAAUUUAAAACUCCAAAGAAAGAGAAAUAGAGGAUUUGACUACCCCAGCUGAAACUAUAGUUACCCGGCUAAAAAAUAGAUCAAUCACAAUCUUAGCAUUAGAGAUUUAAACUUAAAAAGAGAGAGAAAGAGAAAGGAUUUUCCCACCAUGGCUACAACUAUAGUUGUCUCGCUAAGAGAUGGGUCAAUCACAUUUUUAGCAUUUGAGAUUUAACUCAAAAGAGAGAGAGAAAGGAUUUGCCCACCAUGGCAACAACUAUAGUUGCCUCACCAAGGAACAGGUCAAUCACAUUCUUAACAUUAGAAUUUUAAACUCCAAAGAGAGAGAAAUAAAGGAUUUGCCUACCGUGAUUGCAACUAUAAAAAUCCACCAAGAAAUAGAUCAAUCACAUUCUUAGCAAUAGAGAUUUAAACUUAAAAAUAGAGUGAAAGAGAGAGGAUUUGACCACCAUGUCUACAACUACUGUUACCCCUACAAAAAGAAAUAGUUCAAUAACACUCUCAACAUCUCGUAUAUUAACUUAAAAGGAAAAUAUUGUAACAUCAAUAAAUGGGUCAAUCACAUUCUAAGCAGAUGAAAUUUAAAAUCAAAAGAGAAAGAAAUAAUUUGCUUACCAGGGCUGCAACUAAAGUUUCUCAGCCAAGAAAUAGGUCAAUCCAAUUCUUAGCUUAUGAAUUUAAAACUCCAAAGAGAAAGAAAGAGACGAUUUGACUACCACGGCUGCAACUAUAGUUACCCAGUCAAGAAAUAGAUCAAUCACAUUCUUAACAUUAGAGAUUUAAACUAAAAAGAGAGAAACAGAAAGGAUUUUCCCACCAUGGCUGCAACUACAGUUGUCUCGCCAAGAAACGGGUCGAUAACAUUUUUCUCAGUAAAUGAGAUUUAAAAUUAAAAGAGAGGAUUUUCCCGCCAUCGCUACAACUACAGUUGCUCCGCCAAGAAACGGAUCAGUCACAUUCUUAGCAAUCAAAUUUUAAACUCCAAAGAGAGAGAAAAAGAGGAUUUGCCUACCAUUGCAGCAACUAUAGUUACCCCGCCAAAAAAUAGAUGAAUCACAAUUUUAGCAUUGGGGAUUUAAACUUAAAAAGAAAGUGAAAGAGAAAGAAUUUGUCCACCAUGGAUGCAACUAAAGUUGCCUCCCCAAGAGAUGGGUCAUUCGCAUUCGUAGUAAUUGAGAUUUAAAGUCAAAAGAGAGAGAAAGAGAAAGGAUUUUCCCAUCAUAGCUACAACUAAACGGGUCAAUUACAUUUCCUCAGUAUAUGAGAUUUAAAAUUAAAAAAGAGGAUUUUCUCACCAUGGCUGCAACAACAGUUGCCCCGCCAAGAAAUGGGUCAAUCACAUUCUUAGCAUUUGAGAUUUUAAAUUGCAAUGAGAGAAAGAGAGGAUUUGCCUACCAUGGCUGCAACUAUAGCAACCCGCCAAGAAAUAAAUCAAUCGCAUUUUUAGCAUUAGAGAUUUAAACUUAAAAAAAGAGUGAAAGAGAAAGGAUUUGACCACCACGGAUACAACUGUUGUUACCCUCGCAAAGAAACAGAUCAAUAACAUUAUCAACAUCUUGUAUGUUAACUUAAAAGAGAAAUAUUGUAACAUCAAUAAAUGGGUCAUUCACAUUCUUAGCAGCUAAAAUUUAAAAUCAAAAGAAAAAGAAAUGAUUUGCUUACCAGGGCUGCAACUACAGUUUCUCCGCCAAGAAAUGGGUCAAUCCCAUUCUUAGCUUACGAAUUUAAAGCUCCAAAGAGAGAGAAAGAGAGGAUUUGCCUACCACGACUGCAACUAUAGUUACCCAGCCAAGAAAUAGAUCAAUCACAUUCUUAGCAUUAGAGAUUUAAACUUAAAAAGAGAGAAAGAGAAAAGAUUUUCCCACCAUGACUGCAACUAUAGUUGCCUUGCCAAGAGAUGGAUCAAUCACAUUUUUAUCAUUUGAGAUUUAACUCAAAAGAUAGAGAAAGAACAAGGAUUUGCCCACCAUGUCUGCAACAAUAGUUGUCUCGCCAAGGAACAGGUCAAUCACAUUCUUAACAUUAGAAUUUUAAACUCCAAACAAAGAGAGAAAUAAAGGAUUUUCCUACAAUGGCUACAACUAUAGUAAUCCACCAAGAAAUAGAUCAAUCAUAUUCUCAGCAUUGGAGAUUUAAACUUAAAAAUAAAGUGAAAGAGAAAGGAUUUGACUACCAUGUCUACAACUACUAUUACCCCUACAAAAACAAAUAGCUCAAUAACACUCAACAUCUCGUUUAUUAACUUAAAAGAGAAAUAUUGUAACAUCAAUAAAUGGGUCAAUCACAUUCUCAGCAGCUGAAAUUUAAAAUCAAAAGAGAAAGAAAUGAUUCGCUUACCAAGGUGCAACUAAAGUUUCUCAGCCAAGAAAUGGGUCAAUCCAAUUCUUAGCUUACGAAUUUAAAACUCCAAAGAGAGAGAGAGAGGAUUUGCCUACCACGGCUGCAACUAUAGUUACCCAGUCAAGAAAUAAAUCAAUCACAUUCUUAACAUUAGAGAUUUAAACUUAAAAAAAGAGAGAAAGAGAAAGGAUUUUCCCACCAUGGCUGCAACUACAGUUGCCUCGCCAAGAUACGGGUCGAUAAUAUUCUUUUUCUCAGUAAAUGAGAUUUAAAAUUAAAAGAAAGGAUUUUCCCGCCAAGAAACGGGUCAGUCACAUUCUUAGGAAUCAAAUGUUAAACUCCAAAGAGAGAUAAAGAAAGGAUUUGCCUACCAUUGCAGCAACUAUAGUUACCCUGCCAAAAAAAUAGAUGAAUCACAAUCUUAGCAAUAGGGAUUUAAACUUAAAAAGAGAGUGAAAGAGAAAGGAUUUGUCCACCAUGGAUGCAACUAUAGUUGCCUCGCGAAGAGAUGGGUCAUUCACAUUCGUAGUAUUUGAGAUUUAAAGUCAAAAGAGAGAGAAAGAGAACGGAUUUUCCCAUCAUAGUUAGAACUAAACGGGUCAAUUACAUUUUCUCAGUAUAUGAGAUUUAAAAUUAAAAAAGAAGAUUUUCUCACCAUGUCUGCAACAACAGUUGCCCCACCAAGAAACGGGUCAAUCACAUUCUUAGCAUUUGAGAUUUUAAAUUGCAAAGAGAGAAAUAGAGGAUUUGCUUACCAUGGCUGCAACUAUAGCAACCCGGCCAAGAAAUUGAUCAAUCACAUUCUUAGCAUUAGAGAUUUAAACUUAAAAAAAGAGUGAAAGAGAAAGGAUUUGACCACCACGGCUACAACUGUUGUUACCCCUGCAAAGAAACAGAUCAAUAACACUAUCAACAUCUCGUAUGUUAACUUAAAAGAGAAAUAUUGUAAUAUUAAUUAAUGGGUCAAUCAUAUUCUCAGCAUCCGACAUUUAAAAUUAAAUGAGAAAGGAAGUAUUUGCCCACCAGGGCUGGCAACUAAAGUUGCCCCGUCAAGAAAUGGGUCAAUAACAUUCUUAGCAUACGAGUUUUAAACCAAAAAAAAGAAGAGGAAAAGAGAAUGGAUUUGCCAAUCAGGGCUGCAACUACAGUUAACUCCGCCAAGAAACAAAUCAAUCAUAUUUUAAACAUAUCAUAUGUGAACUCAAUAAAUAAACAUUGUAACAUCAAGAAAAGGGACAAUCAAUAUCACAACAUUUGAGAUUUAAAAUAAACGAGAAAGAGAAACGAUUUGCCCACCAUGACUGCAACUAUAGUUAUUUUGCCAAGAGAUGGGUUAAUCACAUUCUUAGCAUUUGAGAUUUAAAUUCAAAAGAGAGAAAGAAAAAUGAAUUUCGCAUGGCUGCAACUACGGCCAAGAAGAAACGGGUCAAUCACAUACUCUGAAAAGUGAGGAUUUUGUCACCAUGGCUGCAGGCAACAGUUGCACCGCCAAGAAAUAGGUCAAUCACGUUCUUGACAUUCAAAUUUUAAAUUCCAAAGAGAGAGAAAGGAUUUGCCUACUAUCGCUGCAACUAUAGCAACCCGUCAAGAAAUAGAUCAAUCACAUUCUUAGCAUUGGAGAUUUAAAUUUCGAAAGAGAGUGAAAGAGAAAGGAUUUGACCACCACGACUACAACUAUUGUUAUCCCCCAAAGAAAUAGGUCAAUAACACCCUCAACAUCUUCUACGUUAACUUGAAAGAGAAAUAUUGUAACAUCUAUAAAUGAGUGAAUCACAUUCUCAGCAUUUGAUAUUUAAAAUUAAAAGAGAAAGAAAGAAUUUGCCCAUUAGGGUUGCAACUAAGUUGCCCAGCCAAGAAAUGGUCAAUCAGAUUCUAAGCUUACGAGUUUUAAAUAAAAAAAAGAAGAAGAAAAGAGAAAGGAUUUGCCCACCAGGGCUGCACCUAGAGUUAACCUCGUCAAGAAACAAAUCAAUCAAAUUUUAAACAUGUCAUAUGUGAACUUAGAAAAUAAAUAUUGUAAAAUCAAGAAAAAGGACAUUCAACAUCACAUCUGAGAUAUAAAAUAAGGAGAAAGAGAAACGAUUUGCCCACAUUGGUUGCAACUAUAGUUGUUUUGCCAAGAGACGGGUUAAUCACAUUCUUAGUAUUUGAGAUUUAAAUUCAAAAGAGAGAGAAAUAGAAAGGAUUUUCGCUUAGCUGCAACUACGGCCAAGAAACGGGUCAAUCACAUUUUCUCAGUAUAUGAGAUUUAAAAUUAAAAGAGAGGAUUUUGUCACCAUGGCUGCAGCAACAGUUGCACCGCCUAGAAAUAGGUCAAUCACGUUCUUGACAUUCAAAUUUUAAAUUCCAAAGAGAGAAAGAGAGGAUUUGCCUACUAUCGCUGCAACUAUAGCAACCCGCCAAGAAAUAGAUCAAUCACAUUCUUAGCAUUGGAGAUUUAAAUUUUGAAAGAGAGUGAAAGAGAAAGGAUUUGACCACCACGGCUGCAACUAUUGUUAUCCCCGCAAAGAAAUAGGUCAAUAACACCCUCAACAUCUCGUACGUUAACUUGAAAGAGAAAUAUUGUAACAUCAAUAAAUGAGUGAAUCACAUUCUCAGCAUCUGAUAUUUAAAAUUAAAAAGAGAAAGAAAGAAUUUGCCCACCAGGGCUGCAACUAAGUUGCCCCGCCAAGAAAUGGUCAAUCACAUUUUAAGCUUACGAGUUUUAAAUUAAAAAAAAAAAGAAGAAAAGAGAAAGAAUUUGCCCACCAGGGCUGCACCUACAGUUAACCUCGUAAAGAAACAAAUCAAUCAAAUUUUAAACAUGUCAUAUGUGAACUUAGAAAAUAAAUAUUGUAAAAUCAAGAAAAAUAAUAUUCAACAUCACAACAUCUGAGAUAUAAAAUAAAGGAGAAAGAGAAACGAUUUGCCCACAUUGGCUGCAACUAUAGUUGUUUCGCUAAGAGACGGGUUAAUCACAUUCUUAGUAUUUGAGAUUUGAACUCAAAAGAGAGAGAAAAAGAAAGGAUUUUCGCAUAGCUGCAACUACAGUUGCCCGGCCAAGAAACAAGUCAAUCACAUUUUCUCAGUAUAUGAGAUUUAAAAUUAAAAAAGAAGAUUUUCUCAACCAUGGCUGCAAACAACAGUUGCCCCACCAAGAAACGGGUCAAUCACAUUCUUAGCAUUGAGAUUUUUAAAUUGCAAUGAGAGGAGAAAGAGAGGAUUGCCAACCAUGGCUGCAACUAUAGCAACCCGCCAAGAAAUAGAUCAAUCACAUUUUUAGCAUUAGAGAUUUUAAAUUUAAAAAAAGAGCGAAAGAGAAAGGAUUUGACCACCACGGCUACAACUGUUGUUACCCUCACAAAGAAACAGAUCAAUAACACUAUCAACAUCUCGUAUGUAACUUAAAAGAGAAAUAUUGUAACAUCAAUAAAUGGGUCAAUCAAAUUCUUAGCAGCUAAAAUUUAAAAUCAAAAGAGAAAGAAAUGAUUUGCUUACCAGGGCUGCAACUACAGUUUUUCCGCCAAGAAAUGGGUCAAUCCCAUUCUUAGCUUACGAAUUUAAAACUCCAAAGAGAGAAAGAGAGGAUUUUCUCAUCACGGCUGCAAUAGUUGCACCGCCAAGAAAAAGUUCAAUCACAUUCUUGGCAUUCAAAUUUUAAAUUCCAAAGAGAGAAAGAGAGGAUAUGCCUACUAUGGCUGCACCUAUAGCAAUCCGCCAAGAAAUAGAUCGAUCAAAUUCUUAACAUUGGAGAUUUAAACUUCAAAAGAGAGUGAAAGAGAAAGGAUUUAACCACCACGGCUACAACUACUAUUACCCCUACAAAGAAACAAGUCAAUAACACUCUCAACAUCUCGUAUGUUAACUUGAAAGAUAAAUAUUGUAACAUCAAUAAAUGAGUGAAUCACAUUCUCAGCAUCUGAUAUUUAAAAUUGAAAGAGAAAGAAAGGAUUUGCCAACCAAGACUGCAACUAAAGUUGCCCCACCAAGAAAUGGUCAAUCACAUUCUAAGCUUACAAGUUUUAAACCAAAAACAAAAAGAAAGAAGAGAAAGAAUUUGCCCACCAGGGCUACAACUACAGUUAACCCCGCCAAGAAACAAAUCAAUCAAAUUUUAAACAUGUCAUAUGUGAACUCAGAAAAUAAAUAUUGUAACAUCAAGAAAAGGGACAUUCAACAUCACAACAUUUGAGAUAUAAAAUAAAGGAGAAAGAGAAACGAUUUGCCCACCAUAGCUGCAAUUAUAGUUGUUUCUCCAAGAGACAGGUUAAACACAUUCGUAGCAUUUGAGAUUUAAACUCAAAAGAAAGAGAAAGAGAAAGGUUUUUCGCAUGGCGGCAACUACAGUUCCCCGGCCAAGAAAUGUGUCAAUCACAUUCUUGACAUUCAAAUUUUAAAUUCCAAAGAGAGAAAGCGAGGAUUUGCGUAACAUGGCAGCAACUGCAACUAUAGCAACCCGCCAAGAAAUAGAUCAAUCACAUUCUUGGCAUUGGAGAUUUAAACUUAAAAAAUGAGUGAAAGAGAAAGGAUUUGAUCACCAUGGUUACAACUACUAUUACCCCGCAAAGAAACUGAUCAAUAACACUCUCAACAUCUCGUAUGUUAACUUAAAAGAGAAAUAUUGGAACAUCAAUAAAUGGGUUAAUCACAUUCUCAGCAUUUGAUAUUUAAAAUUAAAAGAGAAAGAAAGGAUUUGCCCACUAGGGCUGCAAGUAAAGUUGUCUCGCCAAGAAAUUGGUCAAUCACAUUCUUAGCUUACGAGUUUAAAACUUCAAAGAGAGAGAAAGAGAGGAUUUGCCUACCAUGACUACAACUAUAGUUAAUCAAUCGCAUUCUUAGCAUUACAUAUCUAAACUUAAAAAGAGAGAGAAAGGGAAAGGAUUCGCCUACCAUGGCUGCAACUAUAGUUGCCUCGCCAAUAGAUUGGUCAAUCACAUUCUUAGCAUUUGAGAUUUAACUAAAAAGAGAGUGAAAGAUAAAAGAUUUUCCCAUCAUUGUUGCAACUACAGUUGCCCCGCCAAGAAAUGGGUCAAUCACAUUUUCUCAAUAAAUGAGAUUUAAAAUUAAAAGAGAAAGAAAGGAUUUGCCCACCAGGGCUGCAACUAAAGUUGCCCCGCCAAGAAAUGAAUCAAUCAUAUUCUUAGCUUACAAGUUUAAAACUCCAAAGAGAGAGAAAGAGGAUUUGCCCAAUAUGGCUACAACUAUAGUUACUCCACCAAGAAAUACAUCAAAAGAGAGGACUUUCUCACCAAGGCUGCAACAACAGUUGCCCCACCAAGAAACAGGUCAAUCACAUUCUUGACAUUCGAAUUUUAAAUUUCGAAGGGAGAAAGAGUAGAUUUGCCUACCAUGGCUGCAACUAUAGCAACCCGCCAAGAAAUAAAUCAAUCACAUUCUUAGCAUUAGAAAUUUAACCUCAAAAGAGAGUGAAAGAGAAAGGAUUUGACCACCACGGCUACAACUACUAUUACCCCGCAAAGAAACAGAUCAAUAACACUCUCAACAUCUCGUAUGUUAACUUAAAAAAGAAAUAUUGUAAUAUCAGUAAAUGGGUAAAUCACAUUCUCAACAUCUGAGAUUUAAAAUUAAAAGAGAAAGAAAGGAUUUGCCCACCAGGGCUACAACUACAGUUUCAUCUCCAAGAGAUGGGUCAAUCACAUUUUUAGCUUACGAAUUUUAAACUCCAAAGAGAGAGAAAGAGAAGACUUGCUACAACUAUAGUUACCCUGCCAAGAAAUAGAUCAAUCACAUUCUUAGUAUUGGAGAUUUAAACUUACAAAAAGAUUGAAAGAGAAAAGGAUUUUCCAACCAUGGAUACAACUAUAAUUGUCCCACCAAAAAACGGGUCAAUCACAUUCUUAGCAUUCGAAUUUUAAACUCAAAAAAGAGGGAAAGAGAGGAUUUGCCUACCAUGGCUGCAACUAUAGUUGCACCGUCAACAAAUAGAUGAAUCACAUUCUUAGCAUUGAAGAUUUAAACUUAAAAAGAAAAUGAAAGAGAAAGAAUUUGCCCACCAUGGCUACAACUAUAGUUGUCUCGCCAAAAGACGGGUCAAUCACAUUCUUAGCAUUUGAGAUUUAAACUAAAAGAGAAAGAAAGAGAAAGGAUUUUCCCAUCACGACUACAACUACAGUUACUCCGCCAAGAAACAGAUCAAUCACAUUUUCUCAGUAUAUGAAAUUUAAAAUUAAAAGAGGAUUUUCCCACCAUGGUUAAAACUACAGUUGUCCCACCAAGAAAACGUGUCAAUCACAUUCUUAGUAUUCGAAUUCUAAACUCCAAAAAGAGAGAAAUAGAGGAUUUGCCUACCAUGGAUGCAACUAUAGUUACUCCGCCAACAAAUACAUCAAUCACAUUCUUAGAAUUGGAGAUUUAAACUUAAAAAGAGAGUGAAAUAGAAAGGAUUUGCCCACCAUGGCAGCAACCAAUGUUUUGAAACCUGGACCAUUGAGCAAAUCGAAAAAUAGACUGGAUCACUAGUUCAACCGUCGGGUCAACAAUAGUUGACCUGUAAUGUCAUAAUUAUAUCAUUAACUUAUUUAUUAAUAGUAGUAAAAUAUUUUUUAUUUUUCUACACUAGUUUUUAUACUUAAAACCUAAAAUUUUAAAAUAAAAACAUAAAACUUCCCUUAAAAUAGUGAACCGUCCGGUUCAAUGACUGGUUCAAUCGCCAGUUUUCCAGUUCAACCGCAGGUUUGACUGGGUUUUGACCAAAAUAGAUUUUUACGGCCGACUAGACCGUUUCUUUGACCGGUCAACAAUUCGACCGAUCGAAUCAGCUGAGUCAAUCCGGAUUUUAAAACAUUGGUAGCAACCCCGCCAAGACAUGGGUCAAUCACAUUCUUAGCAUUUGAGAUUUAAACUUAAAAGAGAGAGAAAGAUAAAGGAUUUUCCCAUGAUGGCUGCAACUACAGUUGCCUAGCCAAGAAACAAGUCAAUCACAUUUUUUCAGAUUUAAAAUUAAAAGAGAGGAUUUGCCUACCAUGGAUGCAACUACAGUUACUCCCCUAAGAAAUACAUCAAUUACAUUCUUAGAAUUGGAGAUUUAAACUUAAAAAGAGUAAAAUAAAAAGGAUUUGCCCACCGUAGCAACAACUAUAGCUGCCUUGCCAAGAUACGGGUCAAUUACAUUCUUAAAAGCAUUUGAGAUUUAAACUCAACAGAAAGAGGAAGAGAAAGGAUUUUCCCAUCAUGGCUACAAUUACAGUUACUCCGCUAAGAUACGGGUCAAUCACAUUUUCUCAGUAUAUGAGAUUUAAAAUUAAAAGUGAGGAUUUUCUCACCAUGGCUGCAACAAUAGUUGCCUCGCCAAGAAAUGGGUUAAUCACAUUCUUGACAUUCGAAUUUUAAAAUCCAAAGAGAGAGAAAUAGAGGAUUUGCCUACCAGGGAUGCAACUAUAGUUACUCCACCAAGAAAUACAUCAAUCACAUUCUUAGAAUUGGAGAUUUAAAUUUAAAAAGAAAGUGAAAUAGAAAGGAUUUGCCCACCAUGGCAGUAACUAUAGUUGCCUCGCCAAGAUACGGGUCAAUCACAUUCUUAGCAUUUGAUAUUUAAACUCAAAAGAAAGAGAAAGAGAAAGGAUUUUCCCAUCAUGGGUGCAACUACAGUUGCCCCGCUAAGUAACGGGUCAAUCACAUUUUCUCAGUAUAUGAGAUUUAAAAUUAAAAGAGAUGAUUUUGCCAACAUGGCUACAACUAAAGUUGCCUCGCCAAGAAACGGGUCACUCACAUUCUUGACAUUCGAAUUUGAUACUCCAAAGAAGGAGAAGGAAAGGAUUUGCCUACCAUGGCUGCAACUAUAGUAACCCGCCAAGAAAUAGAUCAAUCACAUUCAUAGCAUUGGAGAUUAAAACAUAAAUAGAGAGUGAAAGAGAGGAUUUGCUCACCAUGGCUUCAACUAUAGUUGUCUCGCCAAGACAUGAGUCAAAUCACAUUCUUAACAUCAAAAUUUUAAACUCCAAAGAAAGAGAAAGGAUUUUCCCAAUAUGGUUGCAACUACAGUUAUCCCGCCAAGAAAUGGGUCAGCCACAUUUUCUCAGUAUAUGAGAUUUAUAAUUAAAGAAUGGGAUUUUCCAACCAUGGAUACAACUACGGUUGUCCCGCCAAAAAACGGGUCAAUCACAUUCUUAGCAUUUGAAUUUUAAACUCAAAAAAGAGAGAAAGAGAGGAUUUGCCUACCAUGACUACAACUAUAGUUACACCACCAAACAAAUAGAUGAAUCACAUUCUUAACAUUGGAGAUUUAAACUUAAAAAGAGAUUGAAAGAGAGAGAAUUUGACCACCAUGGCUGCAACUAUAGUUGCCUCGCUAAGAGACGGGUCAAUCACAUUCUUAGCAUUUGACAUUUAAACUAAAAAGAGAGAGAAAUAGAAAUGAUUUUCCAUCACGACUACAAUUACAAUUGCUCCGUCAAGAAAUGGAUCAAUCACAUUUUGCGACCAUGGUUAAAACUACAGUUGUCCCACCAAGAAAACGUGUCAAUCACAUUCUUAAUAUUCGAAUUUUAAACUCCUAAAAGAGAGGGGGGAUUUGCCUACCAUGGAUGCAACUAUAGUUACUCCACCAAGAAAUACAUUAAUCACAUUCUUAGAAUUGGAGAUUUAAACUUAAAAAGAGAGUGAAAUAGAAACGACUUGCCUACCAUGGAUGCAAUUAUAGUUGCCUCGCCAAGAUACGGGUCAAUCACAUUCUUAGCAUUCAAGAUUUAAACUCAAAAGAGAGAGAAAGGGAAAGGAUUUUCCCAUCAUGGCAACAAAUACAGUUGCCCAGCCAAGAAACGGGUCAAUCACAUUUUCUCAGUAUAUGAGAUUCAAAAUUAAAAGAAAGGAUUUUGCGACCAUGGCUACAACUAUAAUUGCCCCGACAAGAAACGGGUCAACCACAUUCUUAGCAAUUGAAUUUUAAAUGAAAGAGAGAGAAAGAGAGGAUUUGCCUACCAUGGCUAUUACUAUAGUUACCCCACCAAGAAAUAGAUCAAUCACAUUCUUAGCAUUGGAGAUUUAAACUUAGAAAGAGAGUAAAAGAGAAAGGAUUUACCCACCAGCUGCAACUAUAGUUGCCUUGCCAAGAGACGAGUCAAUCACAUCCUCAGCAUUUGAGAUUUAAACUCAACAGAAAAACAAAGAGAAAUGAUUUUCCAAUCGUGGCUGCAACUACAGUUGCCCCGCCAAGAAGCAGGUCAAUCACAUUCUUAGCAUUGGAGAUUUAAACUUAAAAAGUGACUGAAAGAGAAAGAAUUUGACCACCAUGACUGCAACUACUAUUACCCCGCAAAGAAACAGAUCAAUAACACUCAUCAUCUCGUAUGUUAACUUAUAAGAGAAUUAUCGUAAUAUCAAUAAAUGGGUCAAUCACAUUCUCAUCAUCUAAUAUUUAAAAUUGAAAGAGAAAGAAAGGAUUUGCCCACCAGGGCUGCAACUACAAUUGCCUAGCCAAGAAAUAAGUCAAUCACAUUCUUAACUGACGAGUUUUAAAUUUAAAAGAGAGGGAGAGAGAGGAUUUGCCCACCAUGGCUACAACUACAAUUAACCGAGCCAAGAAACAGAUCAAUCACAUUUUAAACAUGUCAUAUGUGAACUCAAAAGAGAAAUAUUGUAACAUCAAGAAACCGGACAAUCAACAUCACAGCAUCUGAGAUUUAAAAUAAAAGAGAAAGAGAAAGGAUUUGUCUUCCAUGGCUGCAACUAUAAUUGUCUCGCCAAGAGGCGGGUCAAUCACAUUCUUAGCAUUUGAGAUUUAAACUCAAAAAAUAGGGAAAGAGAAAAGAUUUGCCCACCAUGAUUGUAACUACAGUUAACCCCGGCAAGAAACAGACCAAUCACAUUUUAAGCAUGUCAUAUGUGAACUACAAAGAGAAAUAUUGUAACAUCAAGAAACGGGAUAAUCAACAUCACAGCAUCUGAGAAUUAAAAUAAAGAAGAGAAAGGAUUUGCCCAACAAGCUUGCAACUAUAGUUGCCACACCAAGAGACGAGUCAAUCACAUUCUUAGCAUUUGAGAUUUAAACCCAAAAGAGAGAGAAAGAGAAAGGAUUUUCACAUCAUGGUUUCAACUAUAGUUACCCCGCCAAGAAAUAGAUCAAUCACAUUCUUAGCAUUGUAGAUUUAAACUAACAAAGAGAGUGAAAGACAGGAUUUGCCCUCCAUGGUUGAACCAAUAGUUGCCUAACCAAAGAAACAGGUCAAUCACAUUUUCUCAGUUAUGAGAUUUGAAAUAAAAAGAUAGGAUUUUUCAACCAUAGAUACAACUACAGUUGUCCCGCCAAGAAACGAGUCAAUCACAUUCUUAGCAUUCGAAUUUUAAACUCAAAAAAGAGAGAAAUAGAGGAUUUGCCUACCAUGACUACAACUAUAGUUACACCGCCAAACAAAUAGAUGAAUCACAUUCUUAACAUUGGAGAUUUAAACUUAAAAAGAGAUUGAAAUAGAAAGAAUUUGACCACUGUGGCUGCAACUAUAGUUGCCUCGCCAAGAGACGGGUCAAUCACAUUUUUAGCAUUUGACAUUUAAACUAAAAAGAGAGAGAAAUAGAAAGGAUUUUCCAUCACGACUACAAUUACAGUUGCUCCGCCAAGAAACAUUUAAAAUUAAAAGAGGAAGAGAAAAGAUUUGCCCACCAUAUCUACAACUACAGUUAUCCCGCCACAAAAUAGGUCAAUCACAUUCUUAGCAUCUAAGAUUUGAACUAAAAAAAAGGGAGAAAGUUAAAGGAUUAGCCCAUCAUGGCUGCAACUAUAAUUUCCCCGCCUAGAAACGAGCCAAUCACAUUCUCAGCAUACGAGAUUUGAACUCAAAAGAGAGAAAAAGCAAGAAUUUGUCCACCAUAGUUGCAAAUAUAGUACCCCCUCUAAGAAACAAAUCAAUCACAUUCAACAACACAUGUUAGCUCAAAAGAGAAAAUAUUAUAACAUCAAGAAACGAGUCAAUCACAUUCUCAGUAUCUAAAAUUUAAAAUUAAAAGAGAGAGAAAAAAGAUUUAUCCACCAUGUCUAUAAAUACAAUUGCCUCGCCAAGAAAUAGGUCAAUCACAUUCUCAGCAUAUAAGAUAUAAAACUAAAAUACAAGAUUUUCCCACCAUGGUUGCAACUAAAGUUGCCUAGCCAAGAAACGAGUCAAUCACAUUUUUAGCAAUCGAGAUUUGAACUCAAAAAAGAGAGAGAAACAAAAGGUUUUGCCUACCCUAUCUCCAACUAUAGUUACCCCGCCAAGAAACAUAUCAAACACAUUCUUAGCAUUCGAGAUUUGAACUUAAAGAUAGAGAGAAAAAGUUUUGCCCUUUAUGGCUGCAACUACAGUUACUAUUGCCAAGAUACAGAUCAAUCACAUUCUCAACAUUUCAUAUGUGAACUCAAAAGAGAAAUUUAAACAUUAAGAAAUUGGCCAAUCACAUUUUCAGCAUCUGAGAUUUAAAAUUAAAAGAGAAAAGAGAAAAGAUUUGCCCUCCAUGGUUAAACCAACAGUUGCCUGACCAAGAAAUGGGUCAAUCAAAUUUUCUUAAUAUAGGAGAUUUAAAUUUAAAAGAGGAUUUUCCCACCAUGGCUGUAACUACAGUUGCCCCGCCAAAAAACGAGACGAUCACAUUUUCUGGUUUCUAGAUGCAAACUUAAAAGAGAGAGAAAGAAAGGGUUUGCCUACCAAGACUGCAACUAUAGUUACCAUGCCAAGAGAGAUCAAUCACAUUCUUCACAUUCGAGAUUUGAACUCUAAAACGAAAGAUAAAAAAAGGGUUGCCCACCACGAUUGCAACUACAGUUACCCUUGCUAAGAAAAAAUAUCAAUCACAUUCUCAACAUCUCAUAUGUGAACUCAAAAAAAAAUUUUUGUAACAUUAAGAAACGAAUCGAUCACAUUCUCAACAUCUGUGAUUUAAAAUCAAAAGAGAAAGAGAAUGGAUUGGCUGACCAUAGCUGCAACUACAGUUGCCCCGCCAAGAAACGAGUCAAUCACAUUCUCAGCAUUCGAACUUUAAACUGAAAAGAGAAAAAGAUAAAGGAUUUGCCCACCAUGGCUGCAACUAUAUUUGUCCCGCCAAGAAACAGAUCAAUCACAUUCUCAAAAUCUCAUGUGAACUCAAAAAAAAAAACAUUGCAAAAUUAAGAAUCGGACAGACAAAUCAUUUUCUCAAAAUUAAGAAUUGGACAAAAUCUCAUAUGUAAACUCAAAAGAGCGAUAUUGGAACAUCAAGAAACGGGCCAAUCACAAUCUCAGCAUCUGAUAUUUACAAAUAAAAGAAAAAGAGAAAGGAUUGGUCCACCAUGGCUGCAACUAUAGUUGCCUCGCCAAGAGACAAGUCAAUCACAUUCUUAGCAUUUGAGAUUUAAACUUAAAAGAGAGUGAAAAAGAAAGGAUUAGCCCACCAUGGAUGCAACUAUUGUUGCCCCCACAAAAAAACAAAUCAAUCACAUUCUCAACCUCUCAUAUGUGACCUCAAAAGAGAUAUUGUAACAUUAAGAAAUGGGUCAAUCACAUUCUCAGCAUCUGAAAUUUAAAAUUAAAAAAGAACGAGAAAUGAUUUGCCUACCAUGGCUGCAACUACAGUUGCCCCGCCAAGAACAAAUCAAUCACUUUCUCAACAACUCAUAUGUAAACUCAAUAGAGAAAUAUUUUAACUUUAAUAAACAAGUCAAUCACAUUUUCAGCAUCUAAGAUUUUAAAUUAAAAAAGAUAUUAAAGGGAUUUGACAACCAUGACGGCAACUACAAUUGUCGUGCCAAGAAACAGGUCAAACACAUUCUCAGCAUUCAAGAUUUGAACUCAAAAAAGAGAAAAAAUUUGUCCAUCAUGGCUGCAACUAUAGUUACCUCGCCAAGAAACAGAUCAAUCACAUUCUCAAUAUCUCAUAUGUGAAAUCAAAAGAGAAAUACUUUAACAUCAAGAAAUGGGUCAAUCACAUUCUCAAAAUCUGAGAUUUUAAAUUAAAAAAAAAAAUAGAAAGGAUUUUCCCAUAAUGGCUACAACUAUAGUUUCCUCACCAAAAAAAUAGGACAAUCACAUUCUUAACAUUUGAGAUUUAAACUAAAAAUUGAGAGAAACAAUUUGUCCACCCUGGCUGCAACUAUAGUUGCCCUGCCAAGAAAAGGGUCCAUCACAUUCUAAGCAUUCGAUAUUUAAACUCAAAAGAUAGAGAAAGAAAAAGGAUUUUCCCACAAUGGCUACAACUAUAGUUGCUUCGCCAAAAAACGGGUAAAUCACAUGCUCAAUAUAUGAGAUUUAAAAUUAAAAAAGAGAAUUUUCCCACCAUGGCUGCAA